AGGGCGGACCGGGAGUGCAGGCUGGAAGCGGAGCCGCCCUGGGCUCAGGGAGUUGGGCGUGGGGGACGCCGACGCUGUCAUCGCUCCUUAGGUUUCGCCUGCCAGGGCUCCCAGUAAAGAGUUGCAGUAGAAGCAGACGGCGUGGAUGACAGAUGCUUGGCGAUACUGCAUUUGGUGCUGAUUUGGCGUCAACAAUGAGCCUUUUCUUCGGCCGUAAAUAGAAAAAUGUGGGUGUGGACAUAAUGAAGCAAUUGUAUGGCUGGAAAUUAGAUACUUAGAAUUCUCUGGGCACAUAUCAAGAGACUAGCUGUUUCUUUGAAUAAAUAUCAUGGCAAUAAAAGGACACAAAGGCCAAAAAGCUGAGCCUACCUGACCUCUGCCUUACAUAGAAAUGAUUGUGACCUUUGGAUGUUGGAAAAUGAAAAACUUUGGCAGGUAAGGUUAAUCUCUAUUUAUGUAAAAUUUCCCAUACAUCCAUGAGAAAUAUAUUAAUAACUAUAUUCACAGGUGUUUCUAAAAGAUGAAGAAAGUGAACUGGUUGUUUACGUGAGUAGAUAUAAAAUUAGUAUAUAAAAAUGUGAAAGAAAUGUAGUUAGUAAUCAGAUAAAUGAAAAAAGCACUAUUUUAUUUUUUUACUUCUUUAUUUAUUUAUUUUUUUGUCAUUUUGCCUUUUCUGGGACUGCUCCUGUGGCAUAUGGAGGUUCCCAGGCUAGGGGUCCAAUCGGAGCUGUAGCUACCAGCCUACGCCACAGCCACAGCAACGUGGGACCCAAGCCGUGUCUGCAACAGCUCACGGCAAUGCCAGAUCCUUAACCCACUGAGCAAGUCCAGGGACCAAACCCGCAACCUCAUCGUUCCUAGUCGGAUUCGUUAACCACUGAGCCACAACAGGAACUCUGAAAGAACUAUUUUAUAACUGAUUAACAAAAAGCAAGUUAAUUGUCUCAUGCUGGCAGUUAUGGAAGGCAAGGCAGACACAUAUUAUAUCUGUGGCCACCAGCAUCUUUUGAACAAUCUUUUUAUAUUUGAGGAAGUUGUCAAAUUGUAAGUCCUACCUCUUACAAAAAAAUACAGAACUCAUUUUACCAAGAUCCUUUGCAGCAGAGAUAUAGACAUGUAACUAUCCAAUUGAAAGUUUGAUAUAGAAGAGGAAAACAGGGGGAAACAUGACAGAAGUCAUUUUCUGAUAAAAUAACAGCAGAGGUGUCCACCUUUGGGGACAGUAGUUUCCACCAUCAAGCAGUGCCCUGACUCAGCAGGUGAGCUGCAGUGGUAUCUCCUGAUGACGACAACAGAAUCUUCUCUAGAACAACCCCAUAGUGUGGUGUAGGCAUCCUUUAUGGAUGAGGAGCCUUCAAGACAUACUCUCCAGACCUCUGAAAGGACCAAUAAAUUCCUUGGUUGGCAGUUAAGGACCUUGAUUGAUAUAGUAUGUACAUUCAUGUUUUUGCACUUUUGUUUUUGUAAAGUGUUUUAGUAUUACAUAUCAAGAUCUAGGAGUUCUCUUGUGGCGCAGUGGGUUAAGCAUCUGGCAUUGCCACUGUGGCCCGAGUUCAUUCCCUGGCCUGGAACUUCUACAUGCUGCAGGCAUGGCCAAAAAAAUAUAUCUUUUAAUUAAAAAAUUUAAAAAGAUCCAGGAAAAAACAUUCAUCUCUCACUCAUUAACCCUCUUCUAAGAAUUUAUGCUAAGGGAAAUAGCCCAAAGGAAGGAAAAUAGCCCUAUGAAUGGGCAUGAUUUAAAAUUUCAGGAUUUCCCAUCAUGGCUCAGUGGAGACAAAUCUGACUAGCAUCCAUGAGGACGCAGGUUCGAUCCCUGGCCUUGCUCAGUAGAUUGCUAGUGUUGCUAUGGUUCAGCAGCUAUAGCUCCAAUUCAGUUCCUAGCCUGGAAACCUCCAUAUGUUCUGGGUGUAGC
rnacentral:lncRNA from 1 species